CGUACAGCUCAGUAACACGUGGCUAACCUGCCCUUGGGAUGGGAACACCCCCGGGAAACUGGGGCUAAUUCCCGAUAGGUGAAGAACUCUGGAAUGAGUCUCCGCCCAAACAGCGUGUAGAUCAUGCUUCUAUGCGUUGCCCAAGGAUGGGGCCGCGACCGAUCAGGUUGUUGGUGAGGUAAUGGCCCACCAAGCCUAUAACCGGUGCGGGCCGUGAGAGCGGGAGCCCGGAGAUGGGCACUGAGACAAGGGCCCAGGUCCUACGGGGCGCAGCAGUCGCGAAAACUUUGCAAUACACGAAAGUGUGACAGGGUCAUCCCGAGUGCCGACCGCUGAGGUUGGCUUUUACCCAGUCUAGAACGCUGGGGGAAUAAGGAGAGGGCAAGUCUGGUGUCAGCCGCCGCGGUAAUACCAGCUCUCCGAGUGGUGUGGACGUUUAUUGGGCCUAAAGCAUCCGUAGCUGGCUGAACAAGUCCCUUGUUAAACCCACCGAUUUAAUCGUUGGUCUGCGGGGGAUACUGCUCGGCUAGGGGACGAGAGAGGCAGACGGUAUUCCCGGGGUAGGGGUGAAAUCCUAUAAUUCCCAAGAAGACCACCAGUGGCGAAUGCUGUCUGCUAGAACGCGCCCCGACGGUGAGGAAUGAAAGCUGGGGGAGCGAACC
rnacentral:rRNA from 1 species